rnacentral:rRNA from 1 species
UACGUAGGUGGCAAGCGUUGUCCGGAUUUACUGGGCGUAAAGAGCGCGCAGGCGGUUAUUCAAGUCGAAUGUGAAAGCCCCGGCUUAACUGGGGAGGGUCAUUCGAUACUAUUUAACUUGAAGGCAGGAGAGGGUAGUGGAAUUCCCGGUGUAGUGGUGAAAUGCGCAGAUAUCAGGAGGAACACCGGUGGCGAAGGCGGGUCUCUGGGCCGAUACUGACGCUGAGGAGCGAAAGCGUGGGGAGCGAACAGG